UACGAAAGGGGCAAGCGUUGUUCGGAUUUACUGGGCGUAAAGGGCACGCAGGCGGUCUUGCCAGUCAGGGGUGAAAGCCCGGGGCUCAACCCCGGAACUGCCUCUGAUACUGCAAGACUAGAGACUAGGAGAGGGUGGUGGAAUUCCCAGUGUAGAGGUGAAAUUCGUAGAUAUUGGGAGGAACACCAGAGGCGAAGGCGGCCACCUGGACUAGAUCUGACGCUCAGGUGCGAAAGCGUGGGGAGCAAAC
rnacentral:rRNA from 1 species